rnacentral:rRNA from 1 species
CCUACGGUAGGCAGCAGUGAGGAAUAUUGGUCAAUGGACGCAAGUCUGAACCAGCCAUGCCGCGUGCAGGAAGACGGCUCUAUGAGUUGUAAACUGCUUUUGUACGAGGGUAAACGCAGAUACGCGUAUCUGUCUGAAAGUAUCUUACGAAUAAGGAUCGGCUAACUCCGUGCCAGCAGCCGCGGUAAUACGGAGGAUUCAAGCGUUAUCCGGAUUUAUUGGGUUUAAAGGGUGCGCAGGCGGUCGGAUAAGUUAGAGGUGAAAUCCCGAGGCUCAACUUCGGAAUUGCAUCUGAUACUGUUCGGCUAGAGAGUAGUAGCGGUAGGCGGAAUGUGUGGUGUAGCGGUGAAAUGCUUAGAGAUCAUACAGAACACCGAUUGCGAAGGCAGCAUACCAAGCUACUUCUGACGUUGAGGCACGAAAGCGUGGGGAGCAAACAGGAUUAGAUACCCUAGUAGUC